rnacentral:tRNA from 1 species
AGAGGAGUUCCUUUAUUGGUAAGAAGGGCCGAGCUGUAAACUCGGUAACAACAUGUUUUUUGAGAGUUCGAAUCUCUUCUUCUCUA